GUUAGAGUCACCACAGCACAGUCACAUGUCAAUGUUUUAAAGAGCCUCCUCAAUAAAUGGCUUAAAUGGAGGCAGUUUGUGCUUUUGCUUUCAUUUAAUAGAAACUUAAGCCACAUGGCUAAUUUGCAUACUGUAGUUUUAUGAAACAGCUGUUGAGAUAAAAUAAGGAAAAUGUGAUGAAUCAUUUUGAUUUUUUUUUUCUCCUUACAUAUCUUUAUUUGGACACUAUGUUGUUACAUAUGCACUACAGUAGGUGGCGGCAUGCGCUUUUGUUUGCCUGCCAAUAUCCUUAAAGAAAAAGAUGAAUAGCUGUUGGUGAUGUCACUUCCCCUGGGUAAGGACAGUCGAAUUGGGCAAAUGCUGCUGAAGCAGAAGUUCACUAACUGAAUAGAGAUCUAACAGUUGACCCCAUGAAAGGUUAAGGAUUAGUUGCUAGUGUUAGUACUUAGAGGCUACAAUUUAAGGGUUUCGGAAUCAGUCAUACAUAAAACGGACUAGAGGUCUGAACAUAGCUUAACGACAACUCUCCAUGACACUGACCGGCCUGCUGUACACUUUCUCAUGGAUCUUCUUCCAUUUUUAAAACUCAGAGUCCAGGUCUGGGUUCCUCACUGGAAGGCUCAGCACUGAGGAGAUGGCCAGCAGCACGCACACGGCCGACAGCAUUCUGGAACACUGACACAAAAGAAGUUUUGCAGUUCUGCAUGCACAAAUGUAUGAAUACUACAGACAAUGUGGCUUUUUGGUCCUGAGUCUCUGCUUUUGGAUGAAGUUCCUCGUAAAUAUAUUUGCUCUGAAUUAACUGACUUCAGACUGACCUCAGACUGGACGGGCGUCUCGUUUUACCGACAGAGCCAAUUUCAUGAGAAUUCCCUGGAAUAGCAAAUAUUUACAGCCCACAUAUUUGCCCACAAGGGUCCUCUGCCGCACUUCUAACACAAAAAACAACCUUACAUAAAAAGGUACAUCGUAGAGACGAUGUGUCAAAAUAGAGAAAAGGAGACAAGGAGAAGAUGGUGAAAGACUGCUGUGGAGCGGAGGGAGCUGCGCAGGAGGAAGAGGAAGGAGGAGGUGGAGAAGCUGACCAGUGCAGGACACCACGCUCUGAAACAGGGACAAACCCAGGAGGCACUGCACCGUUUCAGA
rnacentral:lncRNA from 1 species